rnacentral:tRNA from 1 species
GGUAGAGUGGCCGAGAAUAGGCGGCGAGUUGUAGCCUCGCCCACAGGGGGCAGGCCCUUUUUACCAAGUC